ACCGGCGCACGGGUGAGUAACGCGUAUACAAUUUACCCUUAACUGGAGGAUAGCCCAGAGAAAUUUGGAUUAAUACUUCAUAACAAAAAGAACUCGCAUGUUUUCUUUUUUAAAGUUUCGAUGGUUAAGGAUGGGCAUGCGUAACAUUAGCUUGUUGGUGAGGUAACGGCUCACCAAGGCAACGAUGUUUAGGGGCUCUGAGAGGAUGAUCCCCCACACUGGAACUGAGACACGGUCCAG
rnacentral:rRNA from 1 species